AUUCGCCCUUCCAGAGUUUGAUCAUGGCUCAGGAUGAACGCUAGCGGUAGGCCUAACACAUGCAAGUCGAGGGGCAGCAUAGAGUAGCAAUACUUUGAUGGCGACCGGCGCACGGGUGAGUAACACGUAUGCAACCUACCUACAUCAGGGGAAUAACCCGGAGAAAUUCGGACUAAUACCGCAUAAUACAGGGAUGCCGCAUGGUAAUAUUUGUUAAAGAUUUAUCGGAUGUAGAUGGGCAUGCGUUCCAUUAGCUAGUUGGUAAGGUAACGGCUUACCAAGGCAACGAUGGAUAGGGGAACUGAGAGGUUUGUCCCCCACACUGGAACUGAGACACGGACCAGACUCCUACGGGAGGCAGCAGUGAGGAAUAUUGGUCAAUGGACGAGAGUCUGAACCAGCCAAAUCGCGUGAAGGAAGACUGCCCUACGGGUUGUAAACUUCUUUUGUACAGGAAUAAAAGACAUUACGUGUAAUGUAUUGCAUGUACUGUACGAAUAAGCAUCGGCUAACUCCGUGCCAGCAGCCGCGGUAAUACGGAGGAUGCGAGCGUUAUCCGGAUUUAUUGGGUUUAAAGGGUGCGCAGGCGGGAUUUUAAGUCAGCGGUGAAAUUUUCAGGCUCAACCUGAACACUGCCGUUGAAACUGGGAUUCUUGAGUAUGGAUGAAGUAGGCGGAAUUCGUUGUGUAGCGGUGACAUGCUUAGAUAUAACGAGGAACUCCGGUUGCGUAGGCAGCUUACUAAGCCAUAGCUGACGCUCAAGCACGAAAGCGUGGGGAGCAAACAGGAUUAGAUACCCUGGUAGUCCACGCCGUAAACGAUGUCGACUUGGAGGUUGUGCCCUUGAGGCGUGGCUUCCGGAGCUAACGCGUUAAGUCGACCGCCUGGGGAGUA
rnacentral:rRNA from 1 species